GAUGAACGCUGGCGGCGUGCCUAAUACAUGCAAGUCGAGCGAACAGACGAGGAGCUUGCUCCUCUGACGUUAGCGGCGGACGGGUGAGUAACACGUGGAUAACCUACCUAUAAGACUGGGAUAACUUCGGGAAACCGGAGCUAAUACCGGAUAAUAUAUUGAACCGCAGGUUUCAAUAGUAAAAGACGGUUUUGCUGUACCUUAUAGAUGGUCCCGCGCCGCAUUAGCUAGUUGGUAAGGUAACGGCUUACCAAGGCGACGAUGCGUAGCCGACCUGAGAGGGUGAUCGGCCACACUGGAACUGAGACACGGUCCAGACUCCUACGGGAGGCAGCAGUAGGGAAUCUUCCGCAAAGGGCGAAAGCCUGACGGAGCAACGCCGCGUGAGUGAUGAAGGUCUUCGGAUCGUAAAACUCUGUUAUUAGGGAAGAACAAAUGUGUAAGUAACUAUGCACGUCUUGACGGUACCUAAUCAGAAAGCCACGGCUAACUACGUG
rnacentral:rRNA from 1 species